rnacentral:sRNA from 1 species
AAUGAACUUACAGUGAAAGCGAUUACAAAUAUUAAGGAGUGGAUGUAAUGGGUACAAUCGUAUGUCAAGACUGCCAAAAAGUGAUUGAGCAUUAUGAAAAUGAGAAGGUUUCUACUCUUUACAGCACGUGUCCGACUUGCAAUACAUCAGAAAAGAAAUAAUUGAUCCUCAUAGAAAAGCCAUCCCGGCUUAAAUCGUCGGGAUGGCUUUUU